rnacentral:misc_RNA from 1 species
CCUUAGUUUCUUAAGAAAAGCAUUUUGGCUCUUACUGACUGAAGACGGAAAAGGCAGCAUUUUGGCAACAAGAACAAAAUUCUCUCCAUUUCCAACAUCAAUUUCAUACAGCUCAUUAAAAAACUCCCGGAAUUUAUGUAUUAGUGUAUCAUAGAAUGGCCUGCUUGGAGGAAUCACAUUGAUAAUAAGAAUUCCAAAAUCACAAAGAACAGAACUUGCAGCAAAAAGAAUAUGGCUCUGAAUAAGCU